UACGAAGGGGGCUAGCGUUGCUCGGAAUGACUGGGCGUAAAGGGCGCGUAGGCGGAUGACACAGUCAGAUGUGAAAUUCCCGGGCUUAACCUGGGGGCUGCAUUUGAUACGUGUUGUCUAGAGUGAGGAAGAGGGUUGUGGAAUUCCCAGUGUAGAGGUGAAAUUCGUAGAUAUUGGGAAGAACACCAAUGGCGAAGGCAGCUCGCUGGGACGGUACUGACGCUGAGACGCGAAAGCGUGGGGAGCAAACAGG
rnacentral:rRNA from 1 species